rnacentral:lncRNA from 1 species
AAGAAAUGACAUGAGCAAAGUUGCUCUCAUCUAAAUUGGUGGCAAUUAUGCCAAAAGCCUUCUUUUCUCGUCUUUUGAACUCCUUAUGCUCCUUGAUGCUUGCCUCUACCCCAGGUGCCUCUUCCUCCUCACAUACAAUCUCCCAAAGAUCCAAUGAUGCCAAAAGUAGCUCCAUUUUGGCCUUCCAGUGGUGAAAGUUGUCACCUUUGAACUUUUCAACCAUUCUCAAGCUAUCACCCUCAAAAGAUGCCAUCUCAAGCUACACGUAGGUCCAAAAAACUCUUGAUUUGGAGUUGUAAUGGAGAAGAUAUCACUACUCAAAGAUCGCUGAACCACAAACCCAGAAUUCGCUGUUUUGCAACUUUUUGUAAAUUAUGAGUCCAAAUCACGUCUAAAUGGUGGAGAAUGAAUUUUAAAGUAAUUCUAUGGCUCUCAUAAGUCUCCCUCACGUCACUCCACUCAAAAUGACUCACUAUCUCAUGAAACUUUCAAACACUAGUGUUACUUCAGCAAAGACACUAUCAAGGUCUUGCACAAAACUCAUAUACUCACAAAUCCAGGAGCAAUGACUUCAACAACACACUAGCAACACUCUACCAUAAGAUCCCAACCACCAAAGUAAGCAACAAAGAAAAAUAAUGCAAGAACAACUUACUUGGUAAGAGAGUGUGGGCCCAUAACCUAUUGAAACAUAGAAAGCAAACUCCACACAAGCAAGUUAGGACCAGCAAGGUUGCACUUCACAAAUAGAAUGUGGUAUGAGAUGAUUCUUCCCAU